UUAUGCACAUAUACACAUUUCUGAAAAUUUCCAUUUUAUAUUUAAAUGUCUGCUUAAAUAUAUGCUGAGUAAAUACAGGUACUCAAAAGUUACCUAUGGUGUUUUAGAUUUUCCAACUACAUUGUUGUUAGGUAAAUGAUUUUGCUGCUGCAGUAGGGAAUGUGUUGAAGAAUGCUGCUGCGUUUGUCCCUGUCCUUGAGAGUUCAUUAUUUACGGAUGGUUCCUCAUAUAUGACUACGUCAAACCAGAAGGCACCAAGGUCCAAUUCUUGUGUGUAAAUUUCACUUUUUGGCAAUUCGAGCCUUCAAACACACGAUCACAAUUUUACAGCGUAAGUGGACUGAAUCUAUGUUCGGUCUCCCACUGCUUACUCUCAAGUAAACACUUCGAUGGGCGGCAAAAUACUGUUUUCUGGUGUGAGCUGUUUAUUUAACCGGCUUGAACCCAAAAUGUAUACAAUCUAUUAAUUCAUAGACAUU